rnacentral:rRNA from 1 species
CCGGCGCUGUUACUUUGAAGAAAUUAGAGUGCUCAAAGCAGGCUCUUAAUGCCUGUAUACAUAUUCAUGGAAUUGGAGAAUACGUCCCUGGCUCGAUUUGGUUGGGUUUUAGAGUCGAAGGGAAAUGAUUAAUAGGGACUGACGGAGGCAUUCGUAUUCCGACGCGAGGGGUGAAAUCCUGUGACCGUCGGACGACGAACUACUGCGAAAGCAUUUGCCGAGAAUGUUUUCAUUAGUCAAGAACGAAAGUUAGAGGUU